AGCUGUAAAAUUCGCCAACACUCUUGCAGCAUAUCUCGACGCCAUGUUGAAAAUGAGCUGCUGCUGACCGUCAAGUACUGUAGCUUCGUAAACAAAAUGGUUGCCGGUGUGAAGGUAGUUAUUCGUGGGAGUUUGCUUCGGAAUUUACCAUCGUUUGCACUACGAGGAAUGGAGGAAAAUCCUCUGGUUAGAAGAAGAACWUCUAGUCKAUCAUUUUCAUCUAGUGGGACACAUUAUUUGGUGGUGGGACUUGGUAACCAUACCAUGCCGGAAACACGGCACAGCAUUGGAAUGACAGUUAUCAAUGAUCUAGCCAACAAGCUGGAAGUAAAGUGGCAACAAAAUAAACGUUUUUCUGGUUUUUACGGCAUUACACAAGUGAAUCAAUUAGAAGUUAUUUUAUUUAAAUCAAAACUUCUAAUGAACAUCAAUGGAAGAAGUGUCUUCAAAAUAGCCUGUGCGUAUAAUAUUCAACCAAGUCAUAUUCUUCUUAUUCAUGAUGAUCUCGAUAAAGUUCUUGGAAAAUAUUCUUUUAAAAAUGGUGGCAGUGCCAGAGGACAUAAUGGAGUCAAGUCAGUACUUACAAGUUUUAAGUCCUGUGACUUUAAGAGGCUUCUGGUUGGAAUCGGAAGGCCUGCCAACAGAUCUCAAGUAGUCGAGUACGUUUUACAGAAGUUYACCGAUCAAGAGAACGAUGUAGUAACUAAUAUCGUUGAUGAGUGUAGUGAACUUGUCCUUAAUCAUCUGAAAGUGUUUGCAUUGGAUCAAAACGCAAGAACACUCAAGAAAUAAUCCUGUGCGGGGUGGGCAGCGCAGUAACAUGGAAAACAUAAAAAAUGGUCAAAUUGACAAAUUUAUGAUUCAAAUCCAAAUCGAAGACUUUAUUUUGAAAAAUUAGAGAUAUCUAGUUUUUCUUUAAGCGUUAAAGAUAUUUUUAUAUUUUUAUUUUCUGUGAAACGCGUGAUUUCUGGGAGAACAAGACUGUGGACAAAUCCAGUAUUCUGAUUGGCUAAUGAAACUAUUGUAUAUUCAAGAUAGAUAAUGGUCGCAUCGAAUGAAUAGUCGAAAAAUGUUGAGAAAAAUUGUUCUUUAUGGUCCUCUUUCGACAAAUUUGCUCUUUGUUUUGUUUGGUASUCCUUCGUAUUUUAAAUGCCCUCGCCAUAAUUACGUCAUGCCAAAACCAACAUUCUGUAAAUUUAAUGGAAAUCAUUUACAUCAAAUUUAUAACCUUUAAAGCGCGCGAUUUUUUUCCAGUGCUGUGACGUCAUUUUGCCGUAAGGCACUCUGUUAAUAUCCGUGUUGUGAUCCGUUGCACAGUCAUACGAAAUCCGCUCUAUUAACGAAUGUUUACAGCAAAUGUUUACACAAAAUACUGAAUAAAUCAGCUGUGCGACCAAUGAGGAGAAAGCAGAUUUUAAAACAACCCAUCUAUUACCGUAUAAAAAGAUAUCUCGUCAGGCAUUUGGAAUGCCGUAUCUAAAAUAGUGCAUUACAUCAUCAUACAUAGAAGAAUUCUAGGAAGUAAYUUUAACUGCGUCACUACGCAUUUAAGCUUGAGUAUUCGAGAAGACAAAAUGUCGUCAGGAUUGAGCGCCGGAUUAGCAACGUUUAACAGCUGUAACAAGGCUGGAUCCAUCCCACACUUUACACAACAUCUUUCUCGUUAUCCAAACGACUAUCAGGCCCUCGUCUGGAGAGGUAGGGCUCACAGUAUCAUCGGGAACACUGCAGAGGCAAGAGCUGAUUUCCAAAAAGCUUGUCGUGUGAGCUUUGGUGCAAAGAAGAAUCUCGCUCAAGCACUUUUAGAGCAUAUCAACGGAAAUAUUGCACAGAAAGGUGCUAUUCUUCAAAAUACUGUAAGACAGUACCCAAAUUGUUCAGAAGCAUGGAGUGAACUGGGCAGCCAUACUCAUAAAUCAGAGACCAAAACUGACCCUGCCUUAGCAUAUCUGCAAAAAGCAAGUCACCUUGCAACAGUUAAUAAUGAGGCAAAAGAGCCGUGGUUUCCCUGGUGCAAUCAGGAAAUCGGUGACAUUUACUACUUUGAAAAACAACAAGUAGCUAAUGCGAGGAAAUACUACGAAACCGCCGUUUUGUCAGGAAACACUUUGACUAUUGGCUAUCUUGGGCUAAGUAGAUGCGACAUUCUAGACGACAAUCCUGCGAGGGCCAAGAGAUACUUUUCAACUGCAAAGAGCUUAAACCCAGUUCUUGUAAAGUGUGAGACCUUUGAGAAAUUUAGUGCUGAAUCUCGAGCCCACUACAAUAUGCUAAAGUUACAAUCCAUGUUUCUUGAAUUGCUUACAGCAUCCAGUGAAUCUCAGACAGUUGAAGAACGACAACCAUCAAGCUCCCAACGCCAACAUGGCGCUACCUCUCGUGCCUACAGAUCAGCCAGUGCAAGUGGAGGUGUUUAUCCUUCACUUCCAAGUUCAAGCCAGCACACAACUCGAGCUGAGAGCGCCUUUACAUCCAGGCAAUCGCCUAUGGGAGCCCAUACCAAUGCAAUUGCAAGCCAGAGUCGUCAAUCUAAAGGAAGAAAAGGGGUACCAGAGAAAGCGAGAGGAUACAGUACUGUUAGAUCUGGUAGGCGAGGUGAUGGCGGAAAUGGCGGAUCUGGAGAUGGAAGCGGAAGUGAUGAGGAAGAAAGCAUGAGUCCAGCAGAAAAGGCCAUACAAACAUGGAAAAAAUUAAAGAAAGAAGCUCCAUCURGGAGRGAGUAUCAURGAAUGCAGUUCYUUCAAUCAAAGUGCAAAAACUUCUGGUAUUCGAGAAUCGCCUCGAACGUGCGACACGCAGGAGCAUUUUUCAAGAAAUACCUUGAUAGAGGCAACACYAUUGAAUUACUUUGCUCGACCGAUGAAAAUCUGAAGGAUAUGCUUGGCAAGCACGAAUCUGGGAAAUACGGAGUCAUUAAGAAAAGCGACAUGAACGGAAUAUUCUAGAACAAAACACACAGUACAUGACAUAUGCUAAAACACUAAGCAUUCCCUCCAAAUAAGAGGUGACGCAUAUGUAUAUCGGUAGCCAUUUUAGACCCUAUAUUAAGACCCUACAUUAAGACCCUAUAUUAAGAGAAAGAUGUUUUGGUGGAGACGAUCGUUUGGUUAGCUGCCCUCUGCAUGCAUCCACCGUAUUUCUUGGUAAUUAUUGCACACAGACAUUGCAUUACGUAUCCAUAAUUUGUUACUGAAAUUUAUUCUGUAAAAUAGAUUUUGUAGAUUUUAGUGAAUAAAACUGAAUCACAUGGAAA